AUUGUACGCUGGCGGCAGGCUUAACACAUGCAAGUCGAGCGAGCGGCGGACGGGUGAGCAGUGUCUGGGAAACGGCCUGAUGGAGGGGGAUAACCACUGGAAACGGUAGCUAACACUGCCGAACAUCAGAGGGGCCAAGAUGGGAGUAGCUAGUAGGUGGGGUAAUGGCUAACCUAGGCGACGAUCCCUAGCUGGUCAGAGAGGCUGACCAGCCACACUGGAACUGAAACACGGUCCAGACGACUACGAGAGGCAGCGUAAGGUAAUCUUGCACACUGGGCGCAAGCCGGUUGCAGUCAUGCCGCGUGUGUGAAGAAGGCCUUCGGGUUGUAAAGCACUUUCAGCGAGGAGGCGUUACUCGCAGAAGAAGCACCCGCUACCUCCGUGCCAGCAGCCGCGGUAAUUC
rnacentral:rRNA from 1 species